AUGGAUCUCUUUCUUUUCUUCUCACACAUACAAGUUGGACCCACUUGUCAUCUCUUUCUUCAACCUACCGUGCUCCGCUCCAGUCCAUCGGCCGCCCCGACGCGAGCCCAUGGAGUUGCAGCUAAAGGACAACUGCGUGGCUGUUGCACGGGCUCAAAGCAGGGCGCGGCGGAGCGGGAUUCGGCUGGCCGGCAAACAAGUUGCAGCGGAGACGACGCCCACGACCUGGCAGGCUCCUACCGAGGGAGCUCGUGGCGAAGGCGGCUCCUCGACCAAGCUCGAGCGACGGCGCCGUUGUGCGGCCCGCCGACUGCGCGUGCGACCAUGGCCCUUAUAGCAACUCCAGCCACGCCUCCAACUACGCCAACGAUUUUUUUACUGUCGACGUGGCCCAAUCGCAUCGGUUAG
rnacentral:rRNA from 1 species